AGCUGAGUCAGUAGCAUGAUCAGUGUGCAGGACCUGAAGGACUAUUUCCAAGGGAAGACUAACAUUUCACAAUGUGAAAGUUGUUAUCUAUAGAGCGGUUAAGGAAAAUGGUAAUCCAGGGUCUAGGUGAUUCUAGGACACUAGGCACAAAACCAUGAAGAAGCAGGCCAGAGAGCAAGCUGACCUCAUGGUUAAUGUUGAAUAUGCUGCAAACUUGGUUUAUUUUCCUUUCUCCCCUCUCUCCUUCCCUGGUUAAUUUUAUAAAGUUUACAGGGCAGUUUCAAAAGGGAGUUCUAGGAGGCAAUGGAGAAUACAAUAAGCAAGACAAAGCAGCAGCAGCCUAUGAGCAUAUUGCUUGCCCAGUGGUCUUGCGAGAACGGCUUCUCUGCAUUCAGCAUCUCAGUCAACUUCACAUGCGUAUCUGGAUCUCAUACAAGAUGAUGGGUCUUUCUAGAAGUUACAUAUUUUGCCUAAUUGACUAGAAGAGAGGAUAGUGAAGAAGUUAAAUUGAAGGCAUAUGUUCUGAUCUGAAUUUUAUACUUGUCUCCAUUUAAUUUUAAACAGCUUUUCCUGUCAUCCUUUAAUUUAAAUUAUGUUGCCCCAUAAUUCCCACCUAAGAGCCUAUUCUUUUCCUUCUUGGCAUUUACCUGAAUUUGAAAUAUAUUUAUUUGUCUCUUUAUUUCCUCAGUAUCUUGCCUCCCACACUUAGAUUGCAAGGUUUAUAAUUUGGAUCAAGACUGUUCUGUUUACUAGUAUCUAUCUAGCACAUGAGGAGUAAUCUGCUGUAAGAUUGAUCAAACCAUGAAAUGUAUCACAGUGAAUAGGACUCCAAGUAGAAGAGAGGAGGAGGCUCUGACUUUUAUCGAUGAAGCCUGAAUGAUGUGCCUCUCCCUAGGGCACUAUUCUAAGCAUUCUGAUUUUUCUGCUGCUUCUCAGAAUCCCUUGUCUUUUAAAUAAUUUCUUGCUGUCUAGUCUUGUCUUUGGACAUAUACACAUAGUUUAUUUUUCUGUCUGAAAAAUUAUAUCGCUUUUCAACAGAAAGUACAAAAUCUCUCAAAUUACUCUGUACAUAAAUCAAACUGUCUCUCAUUCUAUAUCACAGUAGAAUCAUGCUGGAUCCUGGUGGGAAUAUCCACCACCGUCCCACUCUCAACAAGGACUGGGCAUAUGACAAAACUAACUGGACCAGGCGGACACUCUACUUCUCUGCUAGGAAUCGGAAUCUUGAGCAGAGUGAUGCUGGGUGGAAUGAAGGUAGUUGGAGUUAAAUCCUUCCUGUGGUCAUACCAAAAGAGACUGCCCAUAAGUUUAUUCUAUAAAGACCCCCAAGAGUUGUCCUGGUUUCUAUCCCACCUCAAGGUCAGGUGGUUCUGUUUUCCUUUAUUCUGUGAAUUACCCAAUGUUCUUCCAUGCUAGGGUGCAGGAGUGGUAGAAAGCACUUAAGUUAGCUGAAGCCAAUUUCUGUAGCUUGCAAUCAAAGAUCUCCAAUUGAUACAAGCAUAAAACAUGUAUAUAAACAAAAUAAAUAAACUAUGUAAGACAAUACAGUACAUCAUAGAUGCCAAACAAAUAACACAGAUAGCAGGGGUUGCAAUACUCAGAGGAGCUAGAUAUAUCUAUGGUCUGAUAAAGUCAAGGAAGAUUUUAUAAAGGAAAUGGGUUAUGUAUCUUUGAGUUACUGUUGCCCAUCCAUUGGGCAGCAUCUAUGAAAGAUCAAUAGCAGUAUAGCAUCGAGUUAAUAGCUCAGGCUCCAAGUCAGAGAGAACUUGGGCUUAAAUCCUGGCUCUGUCUGGCUAUAUAAUUUUAUUCAGGUAAGUUAACCGUUAAUGUCUUUGCUCCUGUUUCUUUAUUUGUAAAACGUAAGGAUUAAUACUCAUAUGAUAGGUUCACUGUAAGCAUUAAAUCAGAUAAUGCUUGUAAAAUGCUUAGCACAGUACUAAUAUGUACUCAAUUUUAAAAAGAAAUGAGCCGGGCACUGUGGCUCAUGCCUGUAAUUAUAGCACUCUGGGAAGCCAAGGCAGGAGGAUUACUUGAGCCCAGGAGUUUGGGACCAGCCUAGGCAACGUAGCGAGACCCCUGUCUCUACAAAAAAUUUUAAAAAUUAGCUGGGCAUUGUGGUGCAUGCCUGUAGCCCCUGCUACUUGGGAGGCUGAGGUGGGAGGAUCACUUGAGUCCAGGAGGUUGAAGCUGCAGUAAGCCAUGUCUGUACCACUGCACUCCAGCCUGAGCAACACAACA
rnacentral:lncRNA from 1 species